rnacentral:sRNA from 1 species
GCUGGGCAUGGUGACACAUGCCUGUAAUCCUAGUGGCUUGGGAGGCUGAGGCAGGAGGAUCAGCCUCAGCAACUUAGCAAGGCCCUAAGCAACUCAGUGAGAGACCCUGUCUCAA